rnacentral:tmRNA from 1 species
GGGGUCGACUGGUUUUGACAGCAGGACCCAUGAAAUAGUAAGCAAGUCGAGCGCUGAAUUACAGCUCGUAAAUCUCAUUUUUCAAAGCUUUAAAUGGCGAGAAUAACUACGCUCUAGCUGCAUAAUAACUGAAUUAUAGUAAGUUAAUGCCAAGUCUCGGCUAGGCCGAGAAGCUGGAUGUCUCUAAACAGCCCUUGUUGACGGCGGUUUGUAUUGAGGCACCAUAAAUGUCAACAUCGAAACACAUCUGCGUCGUAUGUGUUUUUCAAUAAAGAUGCUAAGGUAUUGAUGGGCAGAUUUCGGUCAGUCUAUAUUCGAAAAUCAAACGAAAUCUAAACUUGUAGAAAGCUAUUAAAUGGCUUGUUUGGACGCGGGUUCGAAUCCCGCCGACUCCACUU